CCGUUUCAACGGGGCAAAAAAUUGAAAAUCAGAAUUAAGUUCAUAAAUACUUUGCUUCCUUAUUUUGAUGCAGCACAAAGGCAGACUAGCCGAGACUCGGUGGACCUCUCUUGUCAGCUUCAACAUUUGCCAGCCAUAGUCAUUCAACUCCAAGAUCUCUGCUCUAUGCCACAGUAGCUAUAAAAAGUGAGGGAUGAGCCUAUUGGUCUGCUGAGCGGAACAGCCAACAGAACAUCAAAGAGCCGGGCUCGAGGGAUGUUUACGGCUAAGGAGGCUCCACGGGGCACUGCUUGAAGGACAUGAAG